rnacentral:misc_RNA from 1 species
AGCAGCCGCGGUAAUUCCAGCUCCAAUAGCGUAUAUUAAAGUUGUUGCAGUUAAAAAGCUCGUAGUUGAAUUUCGGGACUAAUAUGUCGGUCGUACUUUGUACGUACUAGCAUUAUUGGUUUCUCCCUUCUGACGAACCACGAUGUCAUUAAUUUGGUGUCAUGGGAAAUCAGGACUGUUACUUUGAAAAAUUAGAGUGUUUAAAGCAAGCUCGCGCUUGAAUACAUUAGCAUGGAAUAAUGAAAUAGGACGUUUGAUUCUAUUUUGUUGGUUUCUAGGAUCGACGUAAUGAUUAAUAGGGAUAGUUGGGGGCAUUAGUAUUCAAUUGUCAGAGGUGAAAUUCUUGGAUUUAUUGAAGACUAACUACUGCGAAAGCAUUUGCCAAGGAUGUUUUCAUUAAUCAAGAACGAAAGUUAGGGGAUCGAAGACGAUCAGAUACCGUCGUAGUCUUAACCAUAAACUAUGCCGA